rnacentral:misc_RNA from 1 species
GAUGAAGAACGUAGCGAAAUGCGAUACUUGGUGUGAAUUGCAGAAUCCCGUGAACCAUCGAGUCUUUGAACGCAAGUUGCGCCCGAAGCCAUUAGGCCGAGGGCACGCCUGCCUGGGCGUCACACGUCGUUGCCCCCCCAUCUACUCCUUCGGGAUUGCGGGGGGCGGAUGAUGGCCUCCCGUGCGCCUCGUCGCGCGGUUGGCAUAAAUGCCAAGUCCUCGGCGACGCACGCCACGACAAUCGGUGGUUGCGAAACCUCGGUUGCCCGUCGUGUGCGGUCGUCGCGCAUCGAGGGCUCGAAAAAAUUGUCUGGCUCCGGCUCGGCUUUCAACGCGACCCCAGGUCAGGCGGGGUUACCCGCUGAAUUUAAGCAUAUCAAUAAGCGGAGGA